rnacentral:rRNA from 1 species
GACGAACCGUGCGAACGUUAUUCGGAAUCACUGGGCUUAAAGGGCGCGUAGGCGGGCGGCCAAGUCAGAGGUGAAAGCCCCCAGCUCAACUGGGGAAGUGCCUCUGAUACUGGUCGUCUCGAGGGAGAUAGGGGCGUGCGGAACUUCCGGUGGAGCGGUGAAAUGCGUAGAUAUCGGAAGGAACACCGGUGGCGAAAGCGGCGCGCUGGAUCUCUUCUGACGCUGAGGCGCGAAAGCCAGGGGAGCGAACGGG